rnacentral:rRNA from 1 species
UACGUAGGGUGCAAGCGUUGUCCGGAAUUAUUGGCGUAAAGAGCUCGUAGGCGGUCUGUCGCGUCGGCUGUGAAAUCCCGAGGCUCAACCUCGGGUCUGCAGUCGAUACGGGCAAACUAGAGUAUUGCAGGGGAGACUGGAAAUUCCUGGUGUAGCGGUGGAAAUGCGCAGAUAUCAGGAGGAACACCAAUAGCGAAGGCAGCUCGCUGGGACGUUACUGAACACU